GGGUCAUUAGCUCAGUUGGCAGAGCACCUGACUUUUAAUCAGGGUGUCCCGCGUUCGAGUCGCGGAUGACCCACCA
rnacentral:tRNA from 1 species